AUGACAACAGAUCAACCUACCAAGUGGAUGUCAUGGCUCUCUCUCGCUGAAUAUUGGUAUAAUUCUACAUAUCACACUGCUCUGAAAAUGUCACCAUUCCAAGCACUUUAUGGAUUUCCUCCACCCCUCAUCUCUGAACUGGCAAUUCCGGGACCUGAUGAUGAGGAAGCACAUGAUUUCUUGUCUGCUAAACAACAAAUGCUAGAACAUCUGAAAGAAAAUUUGUGCAAGGCUCAUAACAGAAUGAAGCGUUAUGCAGACCUCAAACAAGUGGAGAGAAGCUUCCAGGUUGGAGACAUGGUUUACUUGAAGAUGGCACCUUACAAGUGGAGAGGAGCGCUCAAGUUACAGAACAAGUAUUACGGCCUCUUCCUCAUACUUAAAAAGAUUGGGAACUCUGCUUACAAGUUGCAAUUCCCUAGCAAUAUCCAGAUACACGUUGUCUUCCAUGUGAGCCAGCUCAAGAAACACAUUGGCGCAAAGGCGGUACCGAGCCCAAACCUUCCCAUGGUAAAUACUGAUGGCACUAUCAAAACGGGUCCGGCCACAGUUCUACAAGUGAGGCAAAUCCCACGAAACAAUGCGCCAGUGGUACAGUGGAAAAUUCAAUGGGAAAAUCUGUCGCCAGAAGACGCUACUUGGGAGGACGCGUCUUCAUCAAGUACUCGUUCCCAGCGUUUUUCAGGAGCACUACCCAAGCUUGGAGGGCCGCGCAAGAAUCGACGUGAGGACUCGUCGAUGCUCAAGAAGGGGGCAAUGUCAGGCAUCGCGAUGCAGACAAGUUCAGUUAACAGUUUUCGGUUCAGUUAA
rnacentral:rRNA from 1 species